rnacentral:rRNA from 1 species
AUUGAACGCUGGCGGCAGGCCUAACACAUGCAAGUCGAGCGGAUGAAGGGAGCUUGCUCCUGGAUUCAGCGGCGGACGGGUGAGUAAUGCCUAGGAAUCUGCCUGGUAGUGGGGGAUAACGUCCGGAAACGGGCGCUAAUACCGCAUACGUCCUGAGGGAGAAAGUGGGGGAUCUUCGGACCUCACGCUAUCAGAUGAGCCUAGGUCGGAUUAGCUAGUUGGUGGGGUAAAGGCCUACCAAGGCGACGAUCCGUAACUGGUCUGAGAGGAUGAUCAGUCACACUGGAACUGAGACACGGUCCAGACUCCUACGGGAGGCAGCAGUGGGGAAUAUUGGACAAUGGGCGAAAGCCUGAUCCAGCCAUGCCGCGUGUGUGAAGAAGGUCUUCGGAUUGUAAAGCACUUUAAGUUGGGAGGAAGGGAAGUAAGUUAAUCCCUUGCUGUUUUGACGUUACCAACAGAAUAAGCACCGGCUAACUUCGUG